CCACUCUGCCUACUUGUGUUCUCUCUCUAUCUUUCUGUCAAAUAAAUAAAAUCUUUUAAAAAACAACAUUAAUAUACCAUUAAAGAUUUGCUAAUAUUCUAUUUAGAUUAUAUAACCUAACAGUUGUUUUUUCAUUGUUUCUGAUCCUUUUAAGAAUAGACAAUAUUUUUCUGAGUUUUCACUGAAGUUAUUAAUGCCAUGAUUUAUGUUUUUAUAAAAAUAGCAUCAGAAAAUAAAAAUGUCUCCAUCUUUUUAAGUUGUUCACUGCUUCUAUGCCUCCCCACCCCUGGUGGAUUCACAGCCAAGGAUCAAGAAGAACCUGAGAGGUGGCAGGGUCAGAGGAGGUGAAUAUAAGAGUAAGAGAAAAAGCACUGUGCCCAUAAAAGCAUGGCACCCUGAAAGUUGUAAGCAAAUGGCUACAUGGAUGGUCCUAUUAAUAUACUGUGUAAUAAGUUAGCUUUUUCUUAGAUUCGGCAGAAGCCCUCCAACACUGAAGUUUUUAUAGAGGGUAUUGUAAAGGUCAUUAAUGGAGGAUACAAAGGGCAAUGAGGAAUAUAUUGCUUUUCUUAGACUCCAAGCAAGUUACAGUUAGUUUAUAGAAACUGGGAAUUCAAGCAGGAGCGUACCAUGCCAAUAUGGAACCAGAAGAUAAGACCAAUGUUCAUCGAAGAUGGUCAGCCAUUGAAAUUCAGGUUAAGUCGAGAUGACAUGAAAGCGGACUGUAUUUUGCAUUAUGGCUUUGGAGAUAUAUUCAGAAUAAGUUCAAUGGUGGUAAUGGAAAAUGUGGGACAACAGAAGCUUUAUGAGAUGGUGUCAUACUGUCAAAACAUAAGCAAGUGUCGCCGUGUAUUGAUAGCUCAACGUUUCGAUGAAGUGUGGAAUUCAGAAGCAUGCAACAGAAUGUGUGAUAAUUGUUUUAAAGACAUUGCAUGUGAAAGAAUUUAACAGCCCACUGCAGAGAUCUAAUCAAGAUCCUGAAGGAGGCAAAGGAUCUGAACGAAAAGCUUACUCCACUGAAACUGAUUGAGAGUGAUAGGUGUUGCUCCCCCAAACUUCCCAUAAAGACCUGGUGAAAAUUACUGCACACCUUCUCCUAUAGCAGUAGCUUAAAGACUUCAUAUUUGAAAAUAGGAUCUACAGCUAAUCUGAAUAGUGAUGGACAUCUUAUCACCAUGCAAGUAAAGAAGCCCAUACAGAGCUGUUUCAGGAUUCAUUCUGAAGGAGCUGAUAAAAAGAGGGAAGAAAAACAUCCAGAUGGAAUCUGAUACAAGGUGUGAUGGUGGAUGCCGGCUUACCUGCUGCCACACCGGGCUGGGCCUCCAGGAUGCGGUGCAGAUGUCACCCGCAGCAUAGACAUCAGAGAGAGACGUGUGCAUGUGAGCAUCCACUUUCAGGCCUCCGUCUUCUCCUAGAUCAAACUAAACAACAUUCCUGAUAAGCAUACAUGGGAAGAAAAAUGAAAGGUGUCUUUUGUUCUAAAGUGAAAGAACAAGUCAAAUUUUUACACCUCGUUAUGCUGGUCUUCGGUGAGCGAGUAAAAAACAGCUGCCAAGUUUAGACAACUCAGCUGAAUUUCCAGGGAAUCAAAAUCCUACUAGGACAGACCAACCAAAACAUUCGUAGACUUUUAAGAUCAAGAACACUCAGUAACCAUAUGAUUACCCCACUCGUAAUUACAAUAUUCCUCAGUUUUCUGAGCUUCAAAUGCUAAAAGGCAGAAAAUACAAGAUAGUUUCUCUAGUAGAAUCAUCAACCUUUAGACAAAUGAAUUGUGCAUUAUGUCCUAUUUAUGAAGACACUUACACUGGGACGUUUACUGCUUAAGGACUUUAGGCAAUACGAAAUACUGUAAAUAAAACAUGACUGUAAACUAAAUUGUUUUCAGCUUCCUUAAGUUAUAGUUUUACACUAAAACAAUGAAUAGUUAUUAUGCUUGAGAAUUAGAAAUCUCAUACUACUUUAAAAAUAUUCAUAGCAGGACAAAAUAGUUCACCUUACACUGUUGCCACAGAGGAAAGGUUCUGUAUUUGGUGUAACUCCUGUAGCACUGACAAUGAAAUCACAGCCGUAUAUCUUUUCAUUAGUCAAUUCCACAUAUACAGGCCAUAUUUCUUUAAAACAAACAAACAAACAAAACACCUUCACUCUCAAAUGUAAUCAUCACCAGCUGUCAUUAGCAUUAUGUGAAUAUAACGCCUAGAACAGUGAAAGAAAAAAGCAGGAGAGGACUUUAAAAUGUACCUCUUAAUAAUUUUAUAAGGCACAUUUGCUUAAACAAUUAUAAUGCAAUCAGCAUUAUCUCCUUGUUUUCAGUAUACUUACAAAAUUACGGCAUUCUAAACAUUUUUCCUUCAAAUUUAGACAAAGAACUUCCAACAAAAUGAUUUUAAACUGACAAUCACUUUAUAAAUUAUUUCUUUAAAACUAUUAAGCUAUUAUACUCCACUGAGAAUUUAGUCCAAAUAGACUACUCACUUUUCAGUGUUUUCCCUUACUAUUCAUAUUCCAACUCCAUCACUACCUUUUCCCAUGGAAAGACUCAAAGAAUUCAAAGACAGUGGAAUGUCUUAUAUGCUAGUUCUCACAGGAAAUGUGAAAGAGGGAUUAGAUCUGUUUCUUAAUCCCAAGUUUACAGAUUUUCAAUCUGUUUGAUUUUGGGGAAGUCACUUCAUCUUCUGAGAGUAUCGAAGUUUUUUUUAGUUGAUAACUGUUUUGAGCUGCAAGAUAUUCUGAUUGACGCACAGAGUUCUGGUGGUCAAAGCACCAGGAGCCCCAUGUAAAAUGUAAAGCUGAAUACAAACUAUUAGGAAACUUGAAGACUAAGUAAUGAAAAUAAAAUGACUUACAUUAUUGUUUCAUUUUUA